rnacentral:rRNA from 1 species
AACGAACGCUGGCGGCGUGCCUAACACAUGCAAGUCGUGCGGGAAAGUGGGGGUAACUCCACGAGUAGAGCGGCGCACGGGUGAGUAACACGUAGGUAACCUGCCUCCGAGAUCGGGAUAACCUGUCGAAAGACGGGCUAAUACCGGAUAAGACCACGUGGGCUGCGGCCUGUGGGGUAAAAGGUGGCCUCUGCUUGCAAGCUACUACUUGGAGAUGGGCCUGCGCGCCAUUAGCUAGUUGGUGAGGUAACGGCUCACCAAGGCAAGGAUGGCUAGCUGGUCUGAGAGGAUGGCCAGCCACACUGGGACUGAGACACGGCCCAGACUCCUACGGGAGGCUG